GGUGCUUCUCGGCCUUUUGGCUAAGAUCAAUGUAGAUCUGUUCUUAUCAGUUUAACAUCUGACGAGGAGAAUCUGUGUUGUCAAGGCAGUGUGGAAGGUUC
rnacentral:snRNA from 1 species